rnacentral:lncRNA from 1 species
CAGUCCAGACCCCUUGUUCCUGAACCUUCCCCAACUGUGGGGACUGAUUUGGACUUGUCUGACAAGGUAUCACAAAGGAACCCAGAAUGCAUUGUUCCGUCGUAGCCAUCCGUCCUGGUGUGUCCGAGCCUUUGUGUUGUGAAUGUAAACAACUUUACCUGCUGUACUCACUUUUUUGAAGAGAGUGUUGAUGAUGUGAUCAGAGGAAUCCAGGAAGAAACUCAUCCUCCCAGAUCGUCCUUGAGCUGGUCAUCCUCUUAAGGUCAGAAUAAAGAUUGGCUCCAGAAAUGUAUCA